AUUGAACGCUGGCGGCAUGCUUUACACAUGCAAGUCGAACGGCAGCGCGGGCUUCGGCCUGGCGGCGAGUGGCGAACGGGUGAGUAAUACAUCGGAACGUGCCCAGUAGUGGGGGAUAGCUCAGCGAAAGCCGGAUUAAUACCGCAUACGACCUGAGGGUAAAAUCGGGGAAUCUUCGGACCUCGCGCUAUUGGAGCGGCCGAUGGCAGAUUAGCUAGUUGGUGGGGUAAAGGCCUACCAAGGCGACGAUCUGUAGCUGGUCUGAGAGGACGACCAGCCACACUGGGACUGAGACACGGCCCAGACUCCUACGGGAGGCAGCAGUGGGGAAUUUUGGACAAUGGGCGAAAGCCUGAACCAGCAAUGCCGCGUGUGUGAUGAAGGCCUUCGGGUUGUAAAGCACUUUUGGCGGGAACGAAAAGGACUGUGCCAAUACCACGGUUCGAUGACGGUACCCGCAGAAUAAGCACCGGCUAACUACGUG
rnacentral:rRNA from 1 species